CCUGCCGGACCUGACUGCUAUCGGAUUGAUACUAAGCCAUGCGAGUCUUUGUAGCAAUACAAGGCAGACGGCUCAGUAACACGUAGUCAAUCUACCCUAUGGACGGGGAUAACCUCGGGAAACUGAGAAUAAUACCCGAUAGAUCAUUAUGCCUGGAAUGGUUUAUGGUCGAAAUGAUUUAUCGCCGUAGGAUGGGACUGCGGUCUAUCAGCUUGUUGGUGAGGUAAUGGCCCACCAAGGCUAUAACAGAUACGGGCUCUGAGAGGAGAAGCCCGGAGAUGGGUACUGAGACACGGACCCAGGCCCUAUGGGGCGCAGCAGGCGAGAAAACUUUGCAAUGUGCGAAAGCACGACAAGGUUAAUCCGAGUGUUUUCUGCUAAAGAAAUCUUUUGUCAGUCCUAAAAACACUGAUGAAUAAGGGGUGGGCAAGUUCUGGUGUCAGCCGCCGCGGUAAAACCAGCACCUCAAGUGGUCAGGAGGAUUAUUGGGCCUAAAGCAUCCGUAGCCGGCCGUGUAAGUUUUCGGUUAAAUCUAUACGCUCAACGUAUAGGCUGCCGGGAAUACUGCACAGCUAGGGAGUGGGAGAGGUAGACGGUACUCGGUAGGAAGGGGUAAAAUCCUUUGAUCUAUUGAUGACCACCUGUGGCGAAGGCGGUCUACUAGAACACGUCCGACGGUGAGGGAUGAAAGCUGGGGGAGCAAACCGGAUUAGAUACCCGGGUAGUCCCAGCUGUAAACAAUGCAAACUCAGUGAUGCACUGGCUUGUGGCCAGUGCAGUGCCGCAGGGAAGCCGUUAAGUUUGCCGCCUGGGAAGUACGUACGCAAGUAUGAAACUUAAAGGAAUUGGCGGGGGAGCACCACAA
rnacentral:rRNA from 1 species